rnacentral:rRNA from 1 species
GACGAACGCUGGCGGCGUGCUUAACACAUGCAAGUCGAGCGAGGCCCCUCCUUCGGGAGGGUGUCCUAGCGGCGAACGGGUGAGUAACACGUGGGCAACCUGCCCUCAGCUCUGGGAUAACUCCGGGAAACCGGGGCUAAUACCGGAUACGACCUCCACGGGCAUCUGCGGAGGUGGAAAGUUUUUCGGCUGAGGAUGGGCCCGCGGCCUAUCAGCUAGUUGGUGGGGUAGUGGCCCACCAAGGCGACGACGGGUAGCCGGCCUGAGAGGGCGACCGGCCACACUGGGACUGAGACACGGCCCAGACUCCUACGGGAGGCAGCAGUGGGGAAUAUUGCGCAAUGGGCGAAAGCCUGACGCAGCGACGCCGCGUGAGGGACGAAGGCCUUCGGGUUGUAAACCUCUUUCAGCAGGGACGAAGCGAAAGUGACGGUACCUGCAGAAGAAGCACCGGCCGACUACGUG